ACGGGUGAGUAACGCGUGAGCAACCUGCCUUUCGGAGGGGGACAACAGCUGGAAACGGCUGCUAAUACCGCAUAACAUAUUUGGGUGGCAUCACUUGAAUAUCAAAGAUUUAUCGCCGAAAGAUGGGCUCGCGUCUGAUUAGCUAGUUGGUGAGGUAAUGGCUCACCAAGGCUGCGAUCAGUAGCCGGACUGAGAGGUUGAACGGCCACAUUGGGACUGAGAUACGGCCCAGACUCCUACGGGAGGCAGCAGUGGGGAAUAUUGGGCAAUGGGGGAAACCCUGACCCAGCAACGCCGCGUGAAGGAAGAAGGCUUUCGGGUUGUAAACUUCUUUGACGAGGGACGAAAAAAAUGACGGUACCUCGAAAACAAGCCACGGCUAACUACGUGCCAGCAGCCGCGGUAAUACGUAGGUGGCAAGCGUUGUCCGGAUUUACUGGGUGUAAAGGGCGCGUAGGCGGGACUGCAAGUCAGAUGUGAAAUGUGGGGGCUUAACCCUCAAGCUGCAUUUGAAACUGUAGUUCUUGAGUAUCGGAGAGGCAGGCGGAAUUCCAAGUGUAGCGGUGAAAUGCGUAGA
rnacentral:rRNA from 1 species